rnacentral:rRNA from 1 species
GCGAUAACGAACGAGACUCUGGCAUGCUAACUAGUUAUGCGACCCCCGAGCGGUCGGCGUCCAACUUCUUAGAGGGACAAGUGGCGUUCAGCCACCCGAGAUUGAGCA